rnacentral:rRNA from 1 species
GACGAACGCUGGCGGCGUGCUUAGCACAUGCAAGUCGAGCGGUAAGGCCCUUUCGGGGGUACGACGAGCGGCGAACGGGUGAGUAACACGUGGGUGACCUGCCCUCAGCUCUGGGAUAAGCCCGGGAAACUGGGUCUAAUACCGGAUAUGACUUCAUGACGCAUGUUGUGGAGUGGAAAGCCUUGUGCGGCUGAGGAUGGGCCCGCGGCCUAUCAGCUUGUUGGUGGGGUGAUGGCCUACCAAGGCGACGACGGGUAGCCGGCCUGAGAGGGCGACCGGCCACACUGGGACUGAGAUACGGCCCAGACUCCUACGGGAGGCAGCAGUGGGGAAUCUUGCGCAAUGGGCGAAAGCCUGACGCAGCGACGCCGCGUGAGGGAUGAC